rnacentral:tRNA from 1 species
AGGGCAGUAACUCAGUCCGGUAAGAGAGCUUGUCUGAUACACAAGAAGUCGAUGGUUCAAAUCCAUCCUGCCCUACCA